rnacentral:lncRNA from 1 species
AGCCAGACUGGGGACUGAGUGUGGUUGCCUUCUGGGUUGCAGGAAGCAGUGGCUGGAGCAGCUGUGUUGGGUACCUUGGCAACACCUGGACUGGUGUCCCCAGCACUGACCUUGGCUCAACCCCUAGGGGCUCUGCCCCAGGCUGUCAUGGCUGCCCAAGCUCCUGGAGUCAUCACAGGUGAGUCUGAGUAGGCCAAGGCUCUCCAGGCAUUCCUGCCCCUCAUUUCUAGGCUCUCUGCCUUCACCUGCCCAGGGUGGGCUGGCCAUGGCGACCAGCUCUGCUUCCUGCUAAGGUGGGGGUUGUGGGGAUAGCUGCUGGACCUGGUUGGUUUUGCUGCAGGUGUGACCCCGGCCCGUCCUCCCAUUCCGGUCACCAUCCCCUCUGUGGGGGUGGUGAACCCCAUCCUGGCUAGCCCCCCAACACUGGGUCUCCUGGAGCCCAAGAAGGAGAAGGAAGAGGAGGAGCUGUUUCCUGAGUCUGAACGGCCAGAGAUGCUAAGUGAGCAGGAGCACAUGAGCAUCUCUGGCAGCAGUGCCCGCCACAUGGUCAUGCAGAAGCUGCUGCGCAAGCAGGAGGUGGGUGAACAGACCCUGGGUCGGGAUGUAGGGGUGGGGAACAUCUAGGCAGGCCACAGUGCUCAGCUGUCUCCUCCCCACAGUCCACAGUGAUGGUUCUCCGCAACAUGGUGGAUCCCAAGGACAUCGAUGAUGACCUGGAAGGAGAGGUGACAGAGGAGUGUGGCAAGUUUGGUGCUGUCAACCGUGUCAUCAUCUACCAAGAGAAGCAGGGUGAAGAGGAGGAUGCAGAAAUAAUUGUAAAGAUUUU